GAGGGUAUAGCUCAGCGGGAGAGUGCGUGCUUAGCACGCACAAGGUCCUAGGUUCAGUCCCCAGUACCUCCA
rfam:Camelus ferus unplaced genomic scaffold scaffold322, whole genome shotgun sequence.